GAUGAAGAACGCAGCGAAAUGCGAUAAGUAAUGUGAAUUGCAGAAUUCAGUGAAUCAUCGAAUCUUUGAACGCUCAUUGCGUCCGCCAGUAUUCUGGCGGGCAUGCCUGUUCGAGCGUCAUUUCAACCAUCAAGCCCCCGGCUUGUGUUGGGGACCUGCGGCUGCCGCAGGCCCUGAAAAGCAGUGGCGGGCUCGCUGUCACACCGAGCGUAGUAGCAUACAUCUCGCUCUGGGCGUGCUGCGGGUUCCGGCCGUUAAACCACCUUCAUAACCCAAGGUUGACCUCGGAUCAGGUAGGAAGACCCGCUGAACUUAAGCAUAUCAAUAAGCGGAGGA
rnacentral:misc_RNA from 1 species